rnacentral:lncRNA from 1 species
UAGACACCCUUUUAACUCUUCAUCACAGACAUAACUCGAUUUCACAAAACAGUCAAGAGUAAUCAAACCCACUUCAUUAAAAAUCCUGAUUCACCAUUACAACACUGACUUCAGCAACGAUUGCCUCAGUCUUCCCAAAAUCCUAUGAAGAAAAAAAAACCCAAUUCUCUGUCUUCUUUCCCCGCCCGAAGCAUGAAGCU